rnacentral:tRNA from 1 species
GGCGAAUGGUGUAAUGGAAACACACCCGCAAGGGAGUAUUUGGAGGGUUCGAUUCCCUCUCCGCCA